AUGAGAUUGAAAAGAGAAAGAAACAACAUAAUUGUUAAUAACAAAUUCUUGUUAGUUAAGCAUAAACUAGACCAUUACAUUCAUGGGAUUGGAGUGGGUAGAAAUUAAAAAAUAUUAACCCUAGAAAUAAAAUUAUAUUGAAGGGUAAAAAAAAAUAAGAAAGUGGAGGGAGGGGUAAAAUAGGAAUGGAGAGGUGGAGGAAGCAAAGGAUAGUGGUGGAGAGAACAACCACCCGAAUAUGAUUGAUGACAAGGUAAAUGAGCCACCAAAUCCAAAUCCAAGUAAAGUCUCACAAACAUAAUAAAUUAUAAUAUAAAUACCAUAAUUAUCACAAUAUAUUUUUUUUACAUUUUCAUUAAUUACACUUAAUACUCUACUAAUGUUUGAGGUUUAUUUGUCUUCUACAGACACAAACCUCAUUCACCUUCACAAGACGAGUAGUAAGGAAGAGAAAGAUGAGCCUUCAUCGCACUCCAGCCAUAAGCACACAACACUGUAGCCACACAACAUUUUUCUGUUCGUCAAUACUCCUUCGCAAAGGCACACAUCACAUAAAUAGGGAGCUUCGUCUUCUUCCUUUUGAGGUUGAAGUUGGUUUUCUCCACUUUAUGCAGCCACCUAGUUUUCGCUGCCAAAGGGAAGUUAUUGGGGGACUAUAACAUACACUCAUACACGAGAGCUACUGGAUUUAGCUGAAUCAAUCGUUGAAGAAUAUUCGUUGACUAGGAUAACUGCCAGGAAUGUUUGUGACAAGAAUAUUUGUGGCAGAUAGUCAUCUUCAUCCAGAUAGCUUUUAUACUUUUAUUGUCUG